rnacentral:rRNA from 1 species
GAUGAACGCUGGCGGCGUGCCUAAUACAUGCAAGUCGAGCGAACGGACGAGAAGCUUGCUUCUCUGAUGUUAGCGGCGGACGGGUGAGUAACACGUAGAUAACCUACCUAUAAGACUGGGAUAACUUCGGGAAACCGGAGCUAAUACCGGAUAAUAUUUUGAACCGCAUGGUUCAAAAGUGAAAGACGGUCUUGCUGUCACUUAUAGAUGGAUCCGCGCUGCAUUAGCUAGUUGGUAAGGUAGCGGCUUACCAAGGCAACGAUGCAUAGCCGACCUGAGAGGGUGAUCGGCCACACUGGAACUGAGACACGGUCCAGACUCCUACGGGAGGCAGCAGUAGGGAAUCUUCCGCAAUGGGCGAAAGCCUGACGGAGCAACGCCGCGUGAGUGAUGAAGGUCUUCGGAUCGUAAAACUCUGUUAUUAGGGAAGAACAUAUGUGUAAGUAACUGUGCACAUCUUGACGGUACCUAAUCAGAAAGCCACGGCUAACUACGUG